rnacentral:lncRNA from 1 species
GGAGAUGGAGGGAGGGAAGGAGAUGGUGCAGGAACUAAGUAGAGAAGGCUGUGCAAAGAAAGGGCAGCUGGCCUGAGAAGAUGGAGAGCCUGUGGGCUGAGCACAGUGAGAACCCCUUGCCUGCCCAGGAGCUGCACAAGGGAUCCUGAAAUAAAUUUCAUCUUCACACUUGUGUUUAGUUCUGCUCCUUGGCUACCUAGAGAGUAGAAAGUAUGGCAGAGCUGUUUGGCUUUGGUGAUGGUCAGCCCUGGGGAGGAAGAGAAUGAAGAACCAGAAGAAGGUGUUGGCCUCCCACGAGGAAAUUUGGACACAGACAGCUACAGAGGGAAGACCACGUGAGGACACAGGGAGAAGGUGGCCGUCUACAAGCCAAGGAGAGAGACUGCAGGAGAAACCAACCCUGCCAACACCCUGAUCUCGAACUUCCAGCCUCGAGAACUGCCCAGCCACAGAACGUUAAGAGGACAUCUGCCUCCCCUACAGCUGGAAACAGAAGGAACUCUAAAGGUCAAUUGCCUUGCGCCCAGUUCUUCCGGUGUGUGAGAACUGAGACAAUCCCUUCUUAGCUACAGAGUUCCAGACCAGCCUGGACCAGCUACAGAGUCUUAAACUCAGCAAGACCCCUAGGGUUAUUGGACCUGUGCAGAGAUGUCUUGCAGGUAUAGGCUUUCAGGAGCUUGGCAAGGAGAGUGUGCCGCUUCCAUCAAAGCUAAUUGGGCUGGUAUCCUGCUACGCUGAAUCUACUGGGCUUAGUGAUCAGAGAAGCCAGGGAGGAAGGAGAGAGCUGGUGAAGCUCAAGACUCCUCCAGGUUGGUAGGUCCACCACUUGUUAAGGGAGGAAUGCAAGGAUUUUCCUUACGUAGAGAUAUAGAGUCACAAAUGCCCAGCUCAUUCCAUUCUUACCUUCGCCUCUGCUGAUGUGGGAGCACCAAAAGGGCAUGGUGCACAGUAUUGUGGAGAACUCCCUGAAUUGGGGCCCAGAAGAUCCAGCUCUCCUGCUUAGCAGCUGUGUGACCUUGGGCAAGGCAGUUGCCUUCUCUUUGCUGAUAUGUGAAACAAAGAUACAUUUGCCAGCCCAAGACAUCUUAAAUAAGGAUUGUUAGGCUUAAACUAAAGAGUGUGCUUUGUAAACUGUAAAGUGUUAGGCAAUGUAAGUGAGCAUCCUACUACUAUUUAAAAAAUAAAUAUCAAUCCAAAGGAA